GGAGCCCUGCCAGCUGGGCCACCCGAGGGGCGUUGCGGGGCUCCGGGCGGGGUCGACCCGGGGGGCUCCGUCGGGCCCCACCAGCCUUGCGCCUUUUUCGCUCGGUCUCCUUGGCCUCCCGCUCCUGCGACGCCGCUUUCCUUUUCUCUUGCUCCCGAGCUCGGACCUCGGCCAGGGGCCCCGCCCGCCAGUUGGUCGCCUCCUGCAGCACCCUGGAGGCCCAGGGCCGGCGGGGCGGCGGCUGUGGGGAUCCCGGGCGCGGCCCACACCUGGGACAAUGAGCAGGAACCCAGAGACAGGGUCUUGCUGUGUUGCUGAGCUGGUCUUGAACUCCUGGCCUCCCGCCUCAGUCUCCCAAAGUGCUGGGAUUACAGGGAAUGUGACUUCACUGGACGCAGUAUAAAGAUCUUCAGAUGUCCUCCUGCCGGGGAUUGCAGGGAUCACAGAAAGACCAUCGAGGUCCAGGAGCUACCUGCAAGCGGAGAUCCCUCUGGACGCCCCGUGCCUCACCCAGCAAAGCCGGCUCACAACCCUGCGCUCUCAAACCUCUAAAAGGGCUUGAGGUGCCAAUAGGAAAGGAGGCCCGAGAUUGCCACGGCAUACGUGGGCCCCAAGGAGGGAGCCAGGAGUCACUGCCUGCUUGGGCUAAGGGUACCGCGUACGGAAAGGCGGCGGGGACGCGGCCCAGUUCCAGGAGAUGCGCCCAACGAAGAAGCGGAGGAACAGGGUCACGGGAUAGGGCAGACACCCGGCUGCUUUUUGUUUGCUAGACACCAGCGCCAGCCCCUGCCCGGCCCUCCCGGUCUCCUAAGGGUUGGGGGGGUGUCUUAGGCUCCACAGCGCCCCCGACCGCCCUCC
ensembl:lncRNA DDN-AS1 DDN and PRKAG1 antisense RNA 1